UAGCCUGAGACGCUGUAGUUGAAUCAUAUGCUCCCCGGGGAUUGCCACCUGAACUGCCAUCAGAAGAGUAUGCUGGUGGUUGCUGGGAGUUGGAGUAACCACCACUAUAAGCACUGCUGUACGUUGCCUGCUGCCCGUAGUUAGAUUGAGACGCUGGUGGUCCGCCAUAAGGCGGGGCUCCAUAUCCUGACUGAGAUGCAGGGGCUCCAUAUCCUGGCUGAGAUGCAGGGGCUCCAUAACCAGUCGAUGGUGGUCCAUAACCAGAUUGAGCAGGUGGGUACCCAGGCUGGCCAUAACCUCCUUGGGCAGUAGGUGACUGCUGAGUUUGCCCAUAAGCUGGUUGACUAGUAGGAGGCUUUUGAGUCUGCGGGGGCCCAUAGCUUGAGCCAUAACCUGACGGUUGCUGAGUCCC
rnacentral:lncRNA from 1 species